CAGUAGCCGCGGUAAAACAGAGGGUGCGAGCGUUAAUCGGAUUUACUGGGCGUAAAGCGUGCGUAGGCGGCUUCUUAAGUCGGAUGUGAAAUCCCUGAGCUUAACUUAGGAAUUGCAUUCGAUACUGGGAAGCUAGAGUAUGGGAGAGGAUGGUAGAAUUCCAGGUGUAGCGGUGAAAUGCGUAGAGAUCUGGAGGAAUACCGAUGGCGAAGGCAGCCAUCUGGCCUAAUACUGACGCUGAGGUACGAAAGCAUGGGGAGCAAACAGGAUUAGAUACCCCCGUAGUCCCUGUCUCUUAUAA
rnacentral:rRNA from 1 species